GCUUACGGCCAUACCACCCUGAAUGCGCCCGAUUUCGUCUGAUCUCGGAAGCUAAGCAGGGUCAGGCCUGGUUAGUACUUCGAUGGGAGACCGCCUGGGAAUACCAGGUGCUGUAAGCU
rnacentral:rRNA from 1 species